ACUAACACAGCCAGGGAGGACUGGGGAAGGAUUCCAGCUGCCUGAGCUAAGCCAGGAAGGGAAAAUUGGAGUUAGCAAGGCAAGGAAGGUCAUUCCAGGCAGUGGAAACAGAAUGAGCAAAGGCAAGAGAAAAGGCUAUUUGCUUUUGAGCUACUCCGGGAGAGGAGCAAAGAGUCGGUUUGAGUUGCAUGACUGACAUCUUCUGGCUACAGUGGAUAUUACAGAAAGACUGAAACUCCGCAAAGGUGUGUUUGAAAAAAAGAAAAGCACCCUGGAAUUUGGAUCAUUAAGACUCUAGACAUGUGACCUGGAGAUGCAGCAUCCAUCUUGUGACCAUGAAGCAAUAGGGAUAAGGGUAAAAGUCUACACAUUGUAGAUUGCAGAUAAAAACAUGAAAAGAUCCUGGCUGCCUGAUGACACUACAGGUUAAUAAAAAAUACCUCAGAGAUUCA